GUCAUGGCGCCACAGUGAGCUCAGUGUUUGCAUUGGUGGGAUCCCCCAGCUGACGAAACCCCCUUUUCUACAAUUUCUCCUGGCUACGAGCUUCGUUAGAACCAUCCUGGGAGAAUCUCAAGCCAGGCAAUGUGAAACCAUGUGCAGAUUUCAAAAGACAGCCUAAUUACAAAGAAAGAUGGCUCAAUGCUAUGAAAAACGAGAUUUGAAAAGAGAUAUAAACUAUGGCCUUUCAGAACCCUUCAUUAGAUACUUGUCUGCUUCUGUGUUUCGUGAGUGGCAAUUUGCACCUCUCUCCCUGAGCUUUGCUUUAGAGACUGCACAGGUACAAUGUAGGUGACUGUAGGACAAGCCCUGCCACUGUCCUGCUUUGCUUUACCACUGUACUGCAAUCUACCAUGAAAAUUGUUGUGAAACUACUGACCUAUAUGUUUGCUGACCAUGACACGGAAUCAGUAUUUGAAGGAGGAGUCAUCACAAUUCAGCUUUUUAUGAAAGGAGUUGUGAUACUUCAAGGUGUGAUUCUGAACCUUGAGGACCCUUGUCAUUAUUUAGGAGACAGUGACUUUUGAGGAUGUAUUUGUGAACUUCACCACGGCAGAGUGGGCUCUGCUGAAUCCAUCCCAGAAGAAGCUCUACAGAGAUGUGAUGUGGGAGACAUUUAUGAAUAUGAGUGCUGUAGGAAAAACCAGGGAUAACCAGCAAAUUGAAGAAGAAUACAAAAAUUAUUCAAGAAAUUUAAGAAAUGAUGUAGACAAGUAUUUGAGAUUUGAAGAGAAGCUAUAUCAGCAUAAUGAACUCGGAAAA